UACGGGGGGGGCAAGCGUUGUUCGGAAUUACUGGGCUUAAAGCGCACGUAGGCGGUGUCGUAAGUGUCAGGUGAAAUCCCACGGCUCACCCGUGGAACUGCCUGGCAGACUGCGAUACUAGAGUGUGGUAGGGGAGAGCGGAACUCCUGGUGGAGCGGUGAAAUGCGUAGAUAUCAGGAGGAACACCGGUGGCGAAGGCGGCUCUCUGGUCCACAACUGACGCUGAGGUGCGAAAGCUAGGGGAGCAAACGGG
rnacentral:rRNA from 1 species